rnacentral:rRNA from 1 species
AGAAGGGGAUGGCCAAACUGUGGCAAUUGCCCGCUCUGUAUGAGGGAACCGGAAAUCGUGGAGCACCUUUUCUUCCGCUGUCGUUUCUCCCUCAGGCUUUGGAUGGUGAGAGACUGGCUACAUCUUGUGAGCUUGGAUAUGUCCCUCUGGGCUACUUACAGAAACAUCAAGGAUUGGUGGUAUGACAUGGUUUCCAUCCAAAGGAUCCAUGGAAGGGCAAUGGCUUCGCUCACUAUGCUAGUAUGUAAGACGAUCUGGGACGAGAGGAAUGCAAGGGUCUUUCGCAGCAAGUCGCCCCCCCCCCCAACUAUUCUUCUUCGAACCAUCAAGGGAGCGGCGGGGCUUUGGGCGACCGCGGGAGCAAAGAUUUUGGGGCACAUCCUACCGGGAGAGUAG